GGUUCCAUGGUGUAGUGGUUAGCACGCUGGACUUUGAAUCCAGCGAUCUGAGUUCAAGUCUCGGUGGAACCU